CAUUGAUGGCGCCGUUGCCCAUGGUCGCGAUCGGGUAAACCAGAAAGCCGUGGGUGGUGUGAAUCGCUUCGUCGCCGGGGCCAAGAUAGGUGUGCGCGAGAUAGUUGAGGAGUUCAUCCGAGCCCGCGCCGCAGAUGAUGCGGUCGGGAUCGAGCCCGUAAGUCCGUCCGAUGGUUUCGCGCAGCGCGCGCGAGGUGCCUUCCGGGUAAUCCUCCAGAUGAUCGGCAGCAGCCUUGUAGGCGGCAAUGGCUUUCGGCGACGGC
rnacentral:misc_RNA from 1 species